rnacentral:lncRNA from 1 species
CCUUAUCAUCUAUGUAUAUAAUACAAGUUUGUAAUGUACGUUGCAUACAUCUUGUGACACAGAAAUACUGGGUGCUUGUCAAAAGUGAUACAGCAGUGUUGAUAAGUAUAAAGAUCUAGAAAUUGAAAUAAGUAGGAUGUGGCACCUGAAGACAGAAACAAUACCAGUUGUGAUUGGAUCACAAGGGGUCAUAAAAGAAACAGUCAGUGGUUACUUUGGAAAAAUCCUGGGCAAACCUAACAUGAAUUCAGAAACUCAUAUUAAACGAUAUGGUUCACACUCAAUAUAAGUUCGUGUCCUUGUAAUCUAUAUUCUCAAAACCUUUGUGUUUCUAUUUUAUUUUUUGUAGGGGAGGUAUGUGUUCAACAAGACCAGCCUGCCCUAGGUAACUGGUUGCCACUCAGCAAUUAUGUUAUCUUGUCAAUAUCAAAGGGAAAAAAAUAGGAAUAACCUGAUGCAUCUCAGUUAGUUUCCAUGAUAAGCUUUCCAGUUGUUCAAUUAACUGAACUAAUCUAGUCAUUAAAUUAACAUGUAUGCGGCUGAGUAUUGCACUAACAGAAGUAGCCUUAAUGUUAUUUUCAGGUUUAAUCAGAAUGUGGGUGCAUAGUAAGAAGCAUGCUUCCCAACCACAUUGUUUUGGGUUCAGUCCCAUUGCGUGGUAUCUUGGGCAAGUGUCUUCUAUUAUAGCCUCGGGCUAACUAAAGCAUUGUAAGUGGAUUUGGGAGACAAAACCAAAUUAAGCCCAUCAUAUAUAUAUAUAUCAUCAUCAUCAUUUAAUGUACAUUUUCCAGGCUGGCAUGAGUUGGACAGUUUGACCAAGGAUGGCAAGCCAGCAGGCCACACCAGGCUCCAAUCUGAUCUGGCAAGGUUUCUACAGUUGGACGCCCUUCCUAAUGCCAACCACUCCAAAAGUGUAGUGGGUGCUUUUUACAUGCCACUGGCAUUGACCACAUUUGGAUGGUGUUUUUUAUGUGCCACCAGCAUGAGAGCACUGGCAUCGACCAUGUUCGGAUGGUAUUUUUUAUGUGCUGCCAGUCAGGUGGCACUGGCAUUGACCCACACUUGAAUGGUGCUUAUUACAUGCCACCAACACAGGUGGUGUCUGUAGUUUGUCUCCUCCCCCACCCCCACCAUUGCUUGACAAUUGGUGUUUGUUUGUGUCCCCGUAACUAACUUGGCAGUUCAGCAAAAGAAGCCAAUAGUAUAAGUACCACAUCUUAAAAAAAAAGUCCUGGAGUUUUGAUGUAAAGUUUUAAUUUAGAUCACUUUAUCCUUUUGUUGUCAUAUUUCUGAUGAAAUUCUGUUUCAAUUAAUUUUGAAAAUAAUCAAGAAUUUAUUUGGUUUGCAAGAUUCUUUGCGAAUUUGUGUGUUGAAGCAUAUCAGCAUAAGCUGGUGUUUGGUACAUAAAUUAACAUGAAAUUUUGGAGAUGGGUUUUAAUUUAGAUUAUUUUAAAAUAAAAAUUUUGUUUCAUAAAACCCG